GACAGAGGGGGCAAGCGUUGCUCGGAAUUACUGGGCGUAAAAGGCGCGUAGGCGGCUUUGCAAGUGGCGGGUGAAAUCCCUCGGCUUAACCGAGGAACUGCCUGUCAAACUGCAUGGCUUGAGACCAGGAGAGGUGAGUGGAAUUCCACGUGUAGCGGUGAAAUGCGUAGAGAUGUGGAGGAACACCGAUGGCGAAGGCAGCCUCCUGGGCCAAUACUGACGCUCAUGCACGAAAGCGUGGGGAGCAAACAGG
rnacentral:rRNA from 1 species